AUUGAACGCUGGCGGCAGGCCUAACACAUGCAAGUCGACCGAGUGGCGGACGGGUGAGUAAUGUAUGGGAAACUGCCUGAUGGAGGGGGCUAACUACUGGAAACGGUAGCUAAUACCGCAUACCAUCGGAUGUGCCCAGAUGGGCUUAGCUAGUGGGUGGGGGAAAGGCUCACCUAGGCGACGAUCACUAGCUGGUCUUAGAGGAUGACCAGCCAAAUGUGAACUGAUACACGGUCCAGACUCCUACGGGAGGCAGCAGGGGGGAAUAUUGCACAAUGGGCGAAAGCCUGAUGCAGCCAUGCCGCGUGUAUGAAGAAGGCCUUCGGGUUGGAAAGUACUUUCUGCGGGGAGGCGUUACCCGCAGAAGAAGCACCGGCUAACUCCGUGCCAGCAGCCGCGGUAAUAC
rnacentral:rRNA from 1 species